GCCCGUGUGGCUCAGUUGGUAGAGCAUGGUGUUCGCAACGCCAGGGUUGUGGGUUCGAUUCCCACGGGGGACU
rnacentral:tRNA from 1 species